UGCUGAGCAAGUCUGCUGGCAAGGACGGUGUCCAUGGAGGUGGCAUUUUGGAGGCAUAGACGUGAAGAUGGAAAUGGUUUAGUGAGGUGCAGAACUGAGGCCACUACAAAGCUUGGACUUGAGGAGGAAGCAUUGAAUUAAAUGGCCAGAUUCCACUUCCUCAGAUGGCCAUCCUGACCCAGGGAAUUCAGCGCUCCCUAUCCUUGCCAAGAACGCAGCCUGGGAUCUGCCAGGCCCUGGCAGCCUAUUUAGGUACCUGGUUUCUUCUUUAAACCACUGAAAUUCUGCGACAGGGACGGCAGAGGCCUCGCAGCGCAAGAUUCCCUUCUGGCCCACCGAGGCGCCGGUGUUCUUGGCGUUGGAGAUGUACGGCGGGUCUGCAGAGCAAAGGGACGUUAUUAUACCACACUGCAGCCGUGAGGGGUUCUGGAUCAUGAGCACAGGCUGGGCUCAGAGAGACCUGAGGAGCGGUGAGGGGAUGUGGAGCCGCGUCGUUACGAGGCUGGUUGGAACCCAGGCCAGGUUGUGCCCUCCUUGGAUGGCGGGGGGUGAGAAGAGGGCACGGAUCCACCCCCCAGG